CCCCUAGAUGUUCUGGGCCGCACGCGCGCUACACUGAUGCAUUCAACGAGUCCAACCUUGACCGAGAGGUCCGGGUAAUCUUUGAAACUGCAUCGUGAUGGGGCUAGAUUAUUGCAAUUAUUAAUCUUCAACGAGGAAUGCCUAGUAAGCGUGAUUCAUCAAAUCGCGUUGAUUACGUCCCUGCCCUUUGUACACACCGCCCGUCGCUCCUACCGAUUGAGUGUGUUGGUGAGGAGUUUGGAUUGGCCUCGGAAGGUGGUUCGCCACCGUCCGUAGCUGAGAAGUUCUCCAAACCGCCCCACUUAGAGGAAGGAGAAGUCGUAACA
rnacentral:rRNA from 1 species